rnacentral:rRNA from 1 species
AGAGUUUGAUCCUGGCUCAGGACGAACGCUGGCGGCGUGCUUAACACAUGCAAGUCGAGCGAUGAAGUUUCUUCGGAAAUGGAUUAGCGGCGAACGGGUGAGGAACACGUGAAGAAUCUGCCCUCCACUUUGGGAUAACACCGGGAAACCGGUGCUAAUACCGAAUAUUGAAACAUAAGUGGCAUCACUGAGUUUUGAAAGAAUUUCGGUGGAGGAUGACUUCGCGGCCUAUCAGCUAGUUGGUGAGGUAAUGGCUCACCAAGGCAACGACGGGUAGCCGGCCUGAGAGGGCGACCGGCCACACUGGGACUGAGACACGGCCCAGACUCCUACGGGAGGCAGCAGUGGGGAAUAUUGGGCAAUGGAGGAAACUCUGACCCAGCGACGCCGCGUGCGGGAUGAAGGCCUUCGGGUUGUAAACCGCUUUCAGUAGGGAAGAAGCGAAAGUGACGGUACCUACAAAAGAAGCACCGGCUAACUAUGUGCCAGCAGCCGCGGUAAUACAUAGGGUGCAAGCGUUGUCCGGAAUUAUUGGGCGUAAAGAGCUCGUAUGUCGUUUGUUACGUCGGAUGUGAAAACCUGAGGCUCAACCUC